rnacentral:rRNA from 1 species
AUUGAACGCUGGCGGCAGGCCUAACACAUGCAAGUCGAGCGAGCGGCGGACGGGUGAGUAAUGUCUGGGAAACUGCCUGAUGGAGGGGGAUAACUACUGGAAACGGUAGCUAAUACCGCAUACCAUCAGAUGUGCCCAGAUGGGAUUAGCAAGUAGGUGGGGUAACGGCUCACCUAGGCGACGAUCCCUAGCUGGUCUGAGAGGAUAACCAGCCAGACUGGAACUGAGACACGGUCCGAAGUCCUGCGGGAGGAAGGAGUGGGGAAUAUUGCACAAUGUGGGCAAGCCUGAUGCAGCCAUGCCGCGUGGGUGAAGAAGGACUUCGGGUUGUAAAGCACUUUCAGCGGGAAGGCGUUACCCGCAGAAGAAGCACCGGCUAACUCCGUGCCAGCAGCCGCGGGAAUUC